GCCGGGCGUGGUGGCGGGCGCCUGUAAUCCCAGCUACUCGGGAGGCUGAGACAGGAGAAUUGCUUGAACCCAGGAGGCUGAGCUUGUAGUGAGCAGAGAUCGUGCCGCCGCACUCCAGCCUGGGAGACAGAGUGAGACUCUGUCUCAA
rnacentral:SRP_RNA from 1 species